UACGUAGGGUGCGAGCGUUAAUCGGAAUUACUGGGCGUAAAGCGUGCGCAGGCGGUUAUGUAAGACAGGUGUGAAAUCCCCGGGCUUAACCUGGGAACUGCGCUUGUGACUGCAUAACUCGAGUGUGGCAGAGGGGGGUGGAAUUCCACGUGUAGCAGUGAAAUGCGUAGAGAUGUGGAGGAACACCGAUGGCGAAGGCAGCCCCCUGGGUCAACACUGACGCUCAUGCACGAAAGCGUGGGGAGCAAACAGG
rnacentral:rRNA from 1 species